rnacentral:tRNA from 1 species
GGUGAAAUGGCUGAGGUAUAAGCGAUAGGCUGUAAACUUAUUCACGAAUUAAUUUCUUUUACC